UGCUACACAUGCAGUCGACGAUGAACCCACUUCGGUGGGGGAUUAGUGGCGAACGGGUGAGUAACACGUGGGCAAUCUGCCCUGCACUCUGGGACAAGCCCUGGAAACGGGGUCUAAUACCGGAUACGACCACUUCAGGCAUCUGAUGGUGGUGGAAAGCUCCGGCGGUGCAGGAUGAGCCCGCGGCCUAUCAGCUUGUUGGUGAGGUAACGGCUCACCAAGGCGACGACGGGUAGCCGGCCUGAGAGGGCGACCGGCCACACUGGGACUGAGACACGGCCCAGACUCCUACGGGAGGCAGCAGUGGGGAAUAUUGCACAAUGGGCGAAAGCCUGAUGCAGCGACGCCGCGUGAGGGAUGACGGCCUUCGGGUUGUAAACCUCUUUCAGCAGGGAAGAAGCGAAAGUGACGGUACCUGCAGAAGAAGCGCCGGCUAACUACGUGCCAGCAGCCGCGGUAAUACGUAGGGCGCAAGCGUUGUCCGGAAUUAUUGGGCGUAAAGAGCUCGUAGGCGGCUUGUCGCGUCGGAUGUGAAAGCCCGGGGCUUAACCCCGGGUCUGCAUUCGAUACGGGCAGGCUAGAGUUCGGUAGGGGAGAUCGGAAUUCCUGGUGUAGCGGUGAAAUGCGCAGAUAUCAGGAGGAACACCGGUGGCGAAGGCGGAUCUCUGGGCCGAUACUGACGCUGAGGAGCGAAAGCGUGGGGAGCGAACAGGAUUAGAUACCCUGGUAGUCCACGCCGUAAACGUUGGGAACUAGGUGUGGGCGACAUUCCACGUCGUCCGUGCCGCAGCUAACGCAUUAAGUUCCCCGCCUGGGGAGUACGGCCGCAAGGCUAAAACUCAAAGGAAUUGACGGGGCCCGCACAAGCGGCGGAGCAUGUGGCUUAAUUCGACGCAACGCGAGAACCUUACCAAGCUUGACAUACACCGGAACACCCAG
rnacentral:rRNA from 1 species